UGUAUCAGUAAAUUAUUUUAUGUUCCCUUCUGUUAACUAGGAACAGGAAACUGUUCAUAAUAUAUCAUACAUGUAAAACAAAGUCUUGUAAGUGGUGGGAAAGGACCCAUUUUAGAGGCUUAGGGUCCAGUUAAGCGUAGUAGUACUGUUUGUAAGGAAACAGAUAGCGUUCAUUUAGUCAACUUUUCCACUGAAGGUUAAAUGCCAUAUCUCUUUUGACCAUUCUUGCUGUGUUAAUGUCAGAGAUUCAAUGACAUGGAAAGACAUUUUCAUGUUGAAGCAGUGACUCACAUAUGUUUAAAUUCAGCUUUAUGUUCACAAUUUUUAGGAGUCCGGGUGGUUGGUGGUUCUCACUGUUCUGGGAGAGUGGAGGUUCUUCAUGGAGAGAGCUGGGUCACAGUGUGUGAUGCUGACUUUAACCAGCAGGAUGCAGAGGUUGUGUGUCGAGAGCUGGGCUGUGGUUCUCUUGUGGAGGUUCUGGGAGCAGCUGCUUUUGGUAGAGGGGAGGGUCCGGUGUGGUCAGAGAAGCUUCAGUGUAGAGGAACUGAAUCUCAGAUUCACUUCUGUCCAAAAUCAUCUUCACUCAAACACAACUGCUCCCAUGAUAAUGAUGUGGGACUGGUGUGUGCAGACAGUGUGAGGUUGGCGGAUGGUGGCAGUCGCUGUGCUGGAAGAGCAGAGGUUUUUCACAGAGGACAGUGGGGAACAAUUUGUGGUGCUGGUGCAAAUUUCAUAGCGGGUUUUGUCAUGUGUAAAGAGUUGGGCUGUGGAGAGCCGUUUAGGACUGAUGCAGCUGUUCCAGGAUCUGCACCGAUCUGGAUGAGUCAUGUGAAGUGUACUGGAUCAGAGUCUACACUGAAACACUGUGGAUCAUUAGGGUAUGGUGAACACAGCUGUAAUCCUAAUAUGGAUAUUGAGCUUACCUGUUCAGAUCACAGGACAUCCAGACUUGCUGAUGGUCCUCAUGUUUGCUCUGGGAGAGUGGAGGUUCUUCAUGGAGAGAGCUGGGUCACAGUGUGUGAUGCUGACUUUGACCAGCAGGGUGCAGAGGUUGUGUGUCGAGAGCUGGGCUGUGGUUCUCCUGUGGAGGUUCUGGGAGCAGCUGCUUUUGGUAGAGGGGAGAGUCCGGUGUGGUCAGAGGAGCUUCAGUGUAGAGGAAACGAAUCUCAGAUUCACUUCUGUCCAAAAUCAUCUUCACUCAAACACAACUGCUCCCAUGAUGAUGAUGUGGGACUGGUGUGUUCUGAAAGUGUGAGGUUGGUGGAUGGUGGGAGUCGCUGUGCUGGGAGAGUGGAGGUUCUUCAUAAAGGACAGUGGGGAACAGUGUGUGAUGAUAACUGGGAUAUGAUAGAUGCUGCAGUGGUGUGUAGAGAGCUGGGCUGUGGAGAAGCUGUAGAUGCACUUAGUGGUGCUUACUUUGGAUCAGGAUCAGGACCUAUCUGGAUGGAUAAUGUGGAGUGUAGAGAAUCAGAAUCCAUACUAAAGAACUGUAAAUCAGCAGGAUGGGGUAAACAUAACUGUAAUCAUCCUAAAGAUGCUGGAGUCAUCUGUUCAAGAGUCAGGCUGGUUGGAGGUUCUCACUGCUCUGGGAGAGUGGAGGUUCUUCAUGGAGAGAGCUGGGUCACAGUGUGUGAUUCUGACUUUAACCAGCAGGGUGCAGAGGUUGUGUGUCGAGAGCUGGGCUGUGGUUCUCCUGUGGAGGUUCUGGGAGCAGCUGCUUUUGGUAGAGUGGAGGGUCAGGUGUGGUCAGAGGAGCUUCAGUGUAGAGGCAACGAAUCUCAGAUUCACUUCUGUCCAAAAUCAUCUUCACUCAAACACAACUGCUCCCAUGAUAAUGAUGUGGGACUGGCAUGUUCUGGUCACACUCAGGCUCGGCUGAUGAACGGCUCAGAUUCCUGUUCUGGUCGAGUGGAGCUCCAGUACCUCAGUGAGUGGGGUACAGUGUGUGAUGUAAGCUGGGAUAUGAGAGCUGCCAGUGUCCUCUGUGCUCAGCUGAAGUGUGGGAGUUCUGUGGCUGUGUUGGGGUCAGACUGGUUUGGGGAGGUCAGUGGCCGGAUCUGGGCUGAUGUGUUUGAUUGUCAGGGAAACGAAACACACCUGUUAAAGUGUCCCAUUUCAUCAUGGAGUCGAACUGCAUGCUCUCAUAAACAGUAUGCUGGAGUUAUCUGUAGUGGUUCUUCUCUGGCGUCUCAUGAGGGAGGAGUGCGGUUGUCUGGAGGGAUGGAGUGUGAGGGGGAGGUGGAGGUGUUCUUCAGGCAGGACUGGAGGAGAGUUCUGCUGGACUCCUGGAGUGAGUCUGAGGCCUCUGUGGUCUGCAGACAGCUGGGCUGUGGUUCUGUACUCAACACCUCCAGCUCCUCUUCAUCCAGUCCUGAACACAGCUUGUGUGUGACGGGUUUCAACUGCUCUGGGAGUGAAGCUCAUCUGAGGAACUGCAGCAGCUCACAAGCAGUUAACUGCAGCUCCACAGUACAGCUCUACAUCACCUGCUCUGGUACAUCUAACACAGUCCACAGCUCCAUCAGGCUGGUUGGUUCUGGGGGAGACUGUGCAGGAAGGCUGGAGGUUUUCCACAGUGGAUCAUGGGGGACAGUGAGUGAUGAAUUGUGGGAUAUUGAGGAUGCGCAGGUGGUCUGCAGACAGCUGCAGUGUGGAGUCGCCCUCAGUGCUCCAGUACCGGUACCAGCCCGGUUUGGAUCUGGAACUGGACCCAUUUGGCUGAAUGAGGUGGAGUGUGAGGGGAACGAGGCGUCUCUGUGGAACUGCAGAUAUCAGCUGUGUGGAGAGGAUGAAUGUGGACACAAGGAUGAUGUAGGAGUCGUGUGCUCAGAGAAUGGAAAUACACUAGAUUUGACAAAUUGGCUGUGUGAUUCAUCUCCUCAUGAGAGACCGUGCUCAAAGCACAUUCCUCUGAGGCUGAGGGGAGGAGUAGGAAGCUGUUCUGGAUGGCUGCAGGUGUAUCAUAAUAAAACAUGGGGGUCUGUAUGUGCUGAUCUGUGGGACAUCAGGGAUGCUCAGGUGGUCUGCAGGCAGCUGGGUUGUGGGCCGGCGCUGAGUGCUAAUAGAAGAGCUGCUGAUGGUUCUGGUGGAGGAACUAUCUGGAUGAACAGAGUGAAGUGUAGAGGGAAUGAGAUUCACCUGUGGGACUGUCCUCAUUCCCUGAAGAACCACACUGACGGCUCCCACAGUGCUGGAGUCACUUGUGGAGAUUCUCAACCACAGACAAGAAGAAUCAUAAUUCCACAAACUCCUCCACCAGCUGUUCCCUCCAUCUAUCCAGUGUCUCUCCUGGUUCUGGGAUCUGUGCUCUUCCUGGCCUUAGUGCUUCUGGUUGUGCUGUUUUAUCAGAACAGAGUGCUCAGGAGAGUGAUCUCUAAGAGGAGGAAGACUUCAGCUGAGCCUGUCUAUGAGGAGAUUGACACCAGGCUCAUCCCUAAAAGAAUUACUGUCUCAACUGAAAAGGAAGAACCAGAUAAUUACGAUGAUGUUAUUGUGGAACAAAACUCAAACAUUGUGAUGGGUCUGUAGAGUUAUGUAUGAGUGAGCAAAUUCUAAUCUUAACAACUAAAACUUCCCUAAUAAAAGUCAUGUUCACUUUAUUUUUGUUAGAAAACAUGCUGGAGAUCUACGAUGAUGUCAUGGAGGUCACUGCUGGACACAUUGCGGCAGCCUCCUUCUGCUGAUCUUCCUCUUUCGGGUGGGGAUGGAGACGGUGGAGUGGCAAGUGCUGCUGCUUGAGCUCCAGGACACUGAAGAUGCUGGGUCUUCGGGGACUGGGCCUGAAUUUACAGAAGAGAAAGAUCUGUAGAUUUACUUUCACACAGUUACUGUAGUCCUGUAAUAGUUUAUCCAAAUAAGAAGAUCUACAGUUCUCCAUAGUUCAUACAUUUGUCUCAUUAACAUACACUGCUUUUAGCUUGUAUGGGAUCCUGGGCAAACCCCUGAUUCAGCACUUCUCUCAUACCAUUUUAUACACUGCCUGUAUUUGUAAUUAAUGUACUAAACUAGAAAUGUCAAAAAAGUAACCAAAUAAAUAACUUUACUGCAGGAUA